rnacentral:rRNA from 1 species
AUUGAACGCUGGCGGCAGGCCUAACACAUGCAAGUCGAGCGGAGCGGCGGACGGGUGAGUAAUGCCUAGGAAUCUACCUGGUAGUGGGGGAUACGUCCGGAAACGGGCGCUAAUCCCGCAUACUAUCCGAUGAGCCUAGGUCGGAUUAGCUAGUUGGUGGGGUAAAGGCCUACCAAGGCGACGAUCCCUAACUGGUCUGAGAGGAUGAUCAGUCACACUGUAACGGAGACACGGUCCAGACUCCUACGUGGGGCAGCAGUGGGGAAUAUUGGACAAUGGGCGAAAGCCUGAUCCAGCCAUGCCGCGUGUGUGAAGAAGGUCUUCGGAUUGUAAAGCACUUUAAGUUGGGAGGCGUCACCAACAGAAUAAGCACCGGCUAACUUCGUGCCAGCAGCCGCGGUAAUUC